UACAGGGGAUGCAAGCGUUAUUCGGAAUUAUUGGGCGUAAAGAGUUGUUAGACGGAUUUAAUUUUAAAUAAUUAAUUAAUUAAUUUAAAAUAAAUUAAGAGGAAAAAUAAAGGUAGAAAGAAAUCUCAAAGGAACGGUGAAAUGUAACGAGAUUGAGAAGAAUACUAAAAGCGAAAGCGUUCUUACUAGAUAAUCCUUUCGUUGACCAACGAAAGCUUAGGGAGCAAAAGGG
rnacentral:rRNA from 1 species